rnacentral:rRNA from 1 species
AUUGAACGCUGGCGGCAUGCUUUACACAUGCCAGUCGAACGGCAGCGCGGGCUUCGGCCUGGCGGCGAGUGGCGAACGGGUGAGUAAUACAUCGGAACGUGCCCAGUAGUGGGGGAUAGCUCGGCGAAAGCCGGAUUAAUACCGCAUACGACCUGAGGGUGAAAGCGGGGGAUCUUCGGACCUCGCGCUCUUGGAGCGGCCGAUGGCAGAUUAGCUAGUUGGUGGGGUAAAGGCCUACCAAGGCGACGAUCUGUAGCUGGUCUGAGAGGACGACCAGCCACACUGGGACUGAGACACGGCCCAGACUCCUACGGGAGGCAGCAGUGGGGAAUUUUGGACAAUGGGCGAAAGCCUGAUCCAGCAAUGCCGCGUGUGUGAUGAAGGCCUUCGGGUUGUAAAGCACUUUUGGCGGGAACGAAAAGGACUGUGCCAAUACCACGGUUCGAUGACGGUACCCGCAGAAUAAGCACCGGCUAACUACGUG